GCCGGCCUCCUUCGCCCCGCCCCGUCCGCGCAGCUCGUCCGGCCCGCCCGCAGGCCAGCUUCUCUCGGGAGCCUCCACCCAGGCGCAUGGCUCCAUGAAGCAAGAGGAGGAGGCAGAGCGCGAGAGAUCCCGUCCGCCCCAGCCGCGUCUGGGCCAGGAGAAAAGCAAAACCAUAUUCCUGCUGCUGUCAGUUUUGAUGCACUGAGAAAACUUCAGAGACCUAAGCUUUUUCCAGAGAAGAGAAGCUUUACUGGUGUUCCAGCCCUAAGGCUCAUAUGACAUUAACAGACAAGACACUUUUCAGAAAGACAGGCAACGUGUUGGACCUUCCGGAGCUUCUCAGAAGACAGAGGGUUUUCUUUUGAGGCUGUUGUACAGUGGCCUGAUUAUAGCUCACUGUAGCCUCGAAAUUCUGGGCCGAAAUGAUCCGCCUGCCUCAGCCUCCAAAGUAGCUGAGACUACAGACAAAUCAACUCAAUCAAAGAAACCAACUCAAAGAAAGAUGGGUCUACAUACAACAAAACUGAACAAAAUCUGCAAGAAGAGUGAUUCAUACAUGGGCUAUUGAGGCAACAUGAGAUGGACAUUAAUCGACUAAGUAAAAAACAGAUUUCUUGAAGAAUUAAUAAAGAACUUUUGUUUUGGAAGUUCUCUAUUGUUUAAAAUUAGCCAGAUGUGGUGGCCUGCACCUACAGUCCCAGCUACUCAGGAGGCUGAGGUGGAAGGAUCACUUGAGCCCAAGAGGCGGAGGUUGCAGUGAGCUGAGACUGUGCCGCUGCACUACAGACAGCCUCCUGCAUGACAGAGCCAGACCCUGUCUCAAAAUUUGGGGGGGAGUAAAGUUCUCUAUUGUUUGAAAUAAUAACGAAACAUUAAAGGCUCUAAAGUCAGCUAACGAAUAGUCCUAAAAAUAGAA
ensembl:lncRNA NUTM2A-AS1 NUTM2A antisense RNA 1